rnacentral:rRNA from 1 species
UACGUAGGUGGCAAGCGUUGUCCGGAAUUACUGGGUGUAAAGCGCGUGUAGGCGGGAGGCCAAGUCUGCUGUGAAAUCGCCCGGCUCAACUGGGCGGGGUCGGUGGAAACUGGUCACCUGGAGGACGGUAGAGGCGAGUGGAAUUCCCGGUGUAGUGGUGAAAUGCGUAGAGAUCGGGAGGAACACCAGUGGCGAAGGCGGCUCGCUGGGCCGGACCUGACGCUGAGACGCGAAGGCGUGGGGAUCAAACAGGG